UACGUAGGGUGCAAGCGUUGUCCGGAAUUAUUGGGCGUAAAGAGCUCGUAGGCGGCUUGUCGCGUCGACUGUGAAAACCCGCGGCUCAACUGCGGGCCUGCAGCCGAUACGGGCAGGCUAGAGUUCGGUAGGGGAGACUGGAAUUCCUGGUGUAGCGGUGAAAUGCGCAGAUAUCAGGAGGAACACCGGUGGCGAAGGCGGCCCGCUGGGGCAGUGGCUGACGCUGAAGCGCGACAGCGUGGGGGAGCAAACAGG
rnacentral:rRNA from 1 species